AUGCGUUUAUUGGCUGGGUCGAUCGUUCUUGCGUGGAAGAGGCUUUUGCCCAAUCCCCGCGCGUGCUCCGCUUCCAAUCCUCCUCGCGGGGUGGCGCAGCCCACACCCGCCCCAACCCUAGCCGCCACACCUCUCCUUCCUCCCUCGCUUGACACCAUAGGCGCUGCACCCCCUCCCCUCCUCCUGCUCGGGCGGAUAGCCGCCGGCCGCCGCAUCCCUUCUCCCCCUUCCUCCUCCUUCCUCCUUCCCGCUGGCGCCCAUCGCCCUCGUCCUCGGACAAGGGGCCUUCCGCAGGGAUGGCCACGUCUUCAAACCAGGGGUAGAGGAGCAGGGGAGGGUCAAGAAGCCAGCACUGGGGGUGGAGCAGCCAGGCCAAGGAGGACCCAGGUGGUGGACGCGUCAUGGGAAAGGAGGGCGAUGCCCUUGGCGGGUGUCCGAGCAGGAAGCCGGCGGGGAGCACAUCACCGUAGGCGUCAAGGGAGCCAUGGACAAGCCGCCAGGAGGAGAAAGCUCCUAGUUUGUGGAGGAGACUAUGUGACAGGUGGUGUUUUGGAAUCUAGAUUGAUUUGGAUCUUGGAGAAUGAUUUCUCAGUGUGGUUCAGGUUAAAUUGUUGUCCUACUGUUCCUGCUCAGCCUCCUAAUGUUCUAUGUCUUCGCCGCGCCUUCUUCCAGCUUCUCUAUUGGUUUUCUCUUCACACCGAUCAGGCAGGGGAGGACGAGGCGAAGGGGGAUGGAGAAGUGGUCGAGCUGGAGGCGUACAGGCAGGGCACCCAGAAGACGGAGCUGUGCAACAAGUGGGAGGGCGGCGCCUGCUCCUACGGCGGCUAG
rnacentral:rRNA from 1 species